rnacentral:rRNA from 1 species
AGUCGAGCGAGAAAGGGGCUUCGGCUCCGAGUAAAGCGGCGGACGGGUGCGUAACACGUGGAUAAUCUGCCUCGUGGCGGGGGACAACAGUCCGAAAGGACUGCUAAUACCGCAUGUCAGGUCGGAAACUCCGGUUUCUGACGAAAAAGAGGGCGUCCGCAAGGAGCUCUCACCACGAGAUGAGUCCGCGUCCCAUCAGCUAGUUGGCGGUGUAAUGGACCACCAAGGCUUAGACGGGUAGCUGGUCUGAGAGGAUGACCAGCCACACUGGGACUGAGACACGGCCCAGACUCCUACGGGAGGCAGCAGUGGGGAAUAUUGGACAAUGGGCGAAAGCCUGAUCCAGCCAUGCCGCGUGAGUGAUGAAGGCCUCGGUCGUAAGCUCUGUGGGGAGGGACGGAAAAGGACGUGACCUAAUACGUCUCGCCUUCGACGGUACCGUCCUUACGUCAA